rnacentral:misc_RNA from 1 species
AAUACGUGAGUAACCUGCCCCUGACUCUGGGAUAAGCCUUGGAAACGAGGUCUAAUACCNGAUACGAGACGCUCGGGCAUCCGAUGCGGUUGGAAAGAUUUAUCGGUCAGGGAUGGACUCGCGGCCUAUCAGCUUGUUGGUGGGGUAGUGGCCCACCAAGGCGACGACGGGUAGCCGGCCUGAGAGGGCGACCGGCCACACUGGGACUGAGACACGGCCCAGACUCCUACGGGAGGCAGCAGUGGGGAAUAUUGCACAAUGGGCGCAAGCCUGAUGCAGCGACGCCGCGUGAGGGAUGAAGGCCUUCGGGUUGUAAACCUCUUUCAGCAGGGAAGAAGCGCAAGUGACGGUACCUGCAGAAGAAGCGCCGGCUAACUACGUGCCAGCAGCCGCGGUAAUACGUAGGGCGCAAGCGUUGUCCGGAAUUAUUGGGCGUAAAGAGCUCGUAGGCGGUUUGUCGCGUCUGCUGUGAAAACUCGAGGCUCAACCUCGGGCUUGCAGUGGGUACGGGCAGACUAGAGUGCGGGGGAGACUGGAAUUCCUGGUGUAGCGGUGGAAUGCGCAGAUAUCAGGAGGAACACCGAUGGCGAAGGCAGGUCUCUGGGCCGCAACUGACGCUGAGGAGCGAAAGCAUGGGGAGCGAACAGGAUUAGAUACCCUGGUAGUCCAUGCCGUAAACGUUGGGCACUAGGUGUGGGGCUCAUUCCACGAGUUCCGUGCCGCAGCAAACGCAUUAAGUGCCCCGCCUGGGGAGUACGGCCGCAAGGCUAAAACUCAAAGAAAUUGACGGGGGCCCGCACAAGCGGCGGAGCAUGCGGAUUAAUUCGAUGCAACGCAAGGGAACCUUACCAANNCUUGACAUACACCGGAAACUUCCAGA